AAGGUUUUCCAGGGUGCUGUUUCCUAGAAAGAGGACCAUCUGACAUUUUUAAACCCAGGGGAUCUGGACACUAGGAGGUCAACUGGAGUACAACUUCGGAACUGGAAAGAGAAGAACAAAGGAUGGUCAAUAAGGAAUUCAUCCCCAAGAUCAAGCCUCUAAUUGCCCCUGAUCAGCGUCUGGAUCAUCUGACCCAGGUAGAAAGGGAAAAGAUGAGAGGAAAACAAUGAUGUCCUUGUGGUGGUAAGACAAGUUUUCAAUGGUGCAACACUUCCUAGCAUUUUCCAAAAACCAGUUUUGCUGGUUCUUUAUUAUACAACACUGAUUUAACCUGAAGAAAUUCUGAACAAAGAUCUACUACUGGUGAGGUAUCUCCACUGCUUCUGGAAAUGUAUGGAAUAACUCUCUAGAAUUACAACUACCCAAGGAAAUAAAUGUGUUUUCUUCCUACUUAAAAAACAAA